rnacentral:rRNA from 1 species
AGCAGCCGCGGUAAUUCCAGCUCCAAUGGCGUAUAUUAAAGUUGUUGCAGUUAAAAAGCUCGUAGUUGAAUUUCGGGAUCAAUGCGUCGGUCGUGCUUUCGGGUACGUACUGGUGUCAUUGGUUUCUCCUUUCUGACGAGCCGUGAUGUCAUUAAUUUGGUGUUACGGGGUAGUUAGGACUGUUACUUUGAAAAAAUUAGAGUGUUUAAAGCAGGCAUUCGCUUGAAUACAUUAGCAUGGAAUAAUGAAAUAGGACGUUCGACCCUAUUUUGUUGGUUUCUAGGAUCAACGUAAUGAUUAAUAGGGAUAGUUGGGGGACAUUAGUAUUCAAUUGUCAGAGGUGAAAUUCUUGGAUUUAUUGAAGACUAACUACUGCGAAAGCAUUUGCCAAGGAUGUCUUCAUUAAUCAAGAACGAAAGUUAGGGGAUCGAAGACGAUCAGAUACCGUCGUAGUCUUAACCAUAAACUAUGCCGACUAGGGAUCGGAUGAUGUUAAUUUUUUAAUGUACUCAUUCGGCGC